rnacentral:lncRNA from 1 species
GGUGGCUUGAUUCAGUGCUCCAGGAGGUCGUUUGGGAUAGGAGGUGGCUUGAUUCAGCGCUCCAGGAGGUCGUUUGCGAUAGGAGGUGGCUUGAUUCAGUGCUCCAGGAGGUAGUUUGGAUGGGAGGUGGCUUGAUUCAGUGCUGCAGGAGGUAGUUUGGGAUAGGAAGUGGCUUGAUUCAGCACUCUGGGAGGUGGUUUGGGAUAGGAAGGGGCUUGAUUCAGCGCUCCAUGAGGUAGUUUGGGAUAGGAAGUGGCUUGAUUCAGCGCUCCAGGAGGUAGUUUGGGAUAGGAAGUGGCUUGAUUCAGCGCUCCAGGAGGAAGUUUGGGAUAGGAAGUGGCUUGAUUCAGCGCUCCGCGAGGUGGUUUGGGAUAGGAAGUGGCUUGAUUCAGUGCUCUAGGAGGUAGUUUGGGAUAGGAAGUGGCUUGAUUCAGCACUCUGGGAGGUGGUUUGGGAUAGGAGGUGGCUUGAUUCAGCGCUCCAGGAGGUAGUUUGGGAUAGGAAGUGGCUUGAUUCAGCGCUCCAGGAGGAAGUUUGGGAUAGAAAGUGGCUUGAUUCAGCGCUCCACGAGGUAGUUUGGGAUAGGAAGUGGCUUGAUUCAGUGCUCUAGGAGGUAGUUUGGGAUAGGAAGUGGCUUGAUUCAGCGCUCUAGGAGGUAGUUUGGGAUAGGAAGUGUCUUGAUUCAGCGCUCUAGGAGGUAGUUUGGGAUAGGAGGUGGCUUGAUUCAGCGCUCCAGGAGGUAGUUUGGGAUAGGAAGUUGCUUGAUUCAGUGCUCCAGGAGGUAGUUUGGGAUAGGAAGUGUCUUGAUUCAGCG